GUGCUCAUUUUGGCCGCACCUAUACUAAAAUUGGAAUGGCACAGAGAAGAUUAGCAUGGCCCCUGUGAAAGGAUGACACACAAAUUCAUAAAGUAUUCCAUAUUUUU